CCAGAACCAGUCCCAUGAUUGUGAUCAACAAGAGCAUGAAGACCAGACUGCAGAGUAUAGACAGGAGGAUUCAGAGACUGAACGACCUUCUUCCUCAGAUCAAACUCAGGCACAAUGAAAAACUAAGCCAGGAGAUUGAAUGUCUCAGCCAAAAGUUGAAGUUUCUCCAUAAGAGAAUGCAGGUGGCAGACUCUCACACCUGGAAAGGCGUGCUGACCAGAGCCCCUCUGUGGUGAACCAAUGUCCACAAUUCCAGCUGACAGA